GUUUGGGUCUCACGCGACGGGAACCUGUGAACCGUGUCAGGUCGGGAACGGAGCAGCACUAAGCAGGAGCUCUCGGGUGCCGUGAGGGUGCCUGGGCUGA
rnacentral:SRP_RNA from 1 species